UACGGAGGGUGCAAGCGUUAAUCGGAAUUACUGGGCGUAAAGCGUGCGUAGGCGGUUCGUUAAGUCAGAUGUGAAAGCCCUGGGCUCAACCUGGGAACUGCAUUUGAAACUGGCGGACUAGAGUUUAGUAGAGGGGAGUGGAAUUUCAGGUGUAGCGGUGAAAUGCGUAGAUAUCUGAAGGAACACCAGUGGCGAAGGCGACUCCCUGGACUAAAACUGACGCUGAGGUACGAAAGCGUGGGUAGCAAACAGG
rnacentral:rRNA from 1 species